CCACACCAAAUCAUCAAGCUGGUUGUGGUUCGUCCUUCUCUGGUUCGCAUGUUCUUCGCUACUGCUUUGGAUUCGUCGUGCUAAUUUCGCACGUUUGCCUUCGUUUCCUUCAUGGGCAGUUUGGUACGGUUUCCUGUUGUCGCUUGCGUCGAGCCUUGGGUCCGUCUCUCCUUCUCACUGAGCCUACUUCUCCUGUCGCUGGCGCUUCUUCUUCUCGUCGGUCCUGCUGCUUACCCAACCUUCUGCUUGCUGCCUCGGGUUGCACGAUCUCUGUUGUCGCUGUGUCGUUCGACUCAUCAAGGUCUUCUUCUUUCCUUUCUACUACAUGUGUGCAUGUUUUACUUUCAGUAUCUUCUGUGUCAUGCUGUCUGCCUUUGUGAUCUUUUAAAUAUCUGUAUGUCGUGCUGAUCGUGUAAAUGUUCCGGAUAUGGUCGGGCGUUGUGUGUUGUUCGUUCUCGUGCUGCUUAUAUUUCGUGUAUGCGUGUGAGCAGGAUGUGUACACUUGUUUCCGUUGUUAUACCUGUUUUGGAGGCCAUGCGCUCACUCUUUCUGUUGUACACAGAAGUAUAUUUGUCCAAUUCUCAGGCUAAAUUUUUGAAAGAAACCGCAGUUCAUUACAACGCCAGUUAUGGAUAUGGAUCCCUCUUGCUGCGCUGGAUGAAGGAGUGGAUGUAAUAAGAAUUGCAUGUAACAAACAAGUGCCUCCUCUAUGUAACUUUUUGCUAAUAUCAUUAAAUUUCUCCUGAGAUCUCUCUAGACCUUUCCAAAUGUAUUUUAGUUCGGUGUUUGUAUUAACUAGCAGAAGAAGGGAUGCAAAUGGAAAGAAUUUGAGAUGCAUAAACAUGAAAGCACUAAAAGAUUUGCUCGAAGCAAAGAUGUCUAGCCGGGAUACAUAUGGCAAGAACCUUCAGAGAUCGACUUCUUUUCAGCUGCCAUUGAGAUAUAUACUUGCUCAUAGGUCACAACUCAUGAAGUUACUUCCUUUUGAUUUUGAUUUUGAAAUAUAUGUGUCAUACGUCACAACUGAUGAAGUUACUUCCUUUUGGUGAAGGUCUGAAUAUCAUCAUGAUCUUGGCUGAGAGGCUGACAUUUCGGAAGGUUCUCGUCUGUAUAGAUUAGUUGAUAGGAUGUCAAUUUAAGUUUAUUGAAGCUCUUCUUUAGGAGGCAGGGGUCUGCUUUGGUUUCUUGCUAUUUGCCUCUCUCUUAAAGUACUUGACUGGAUGCAUCUGACAGUUUAUAAAUCAAUAAUUUGGAUGGUUCUACUUUUUAAAUUUAUAACUCUUAGGCUUUUCUCUUAAAAAUAAUGCGAGUUAUUUUUUAGGGGAAAAUAGCUUUUGUUCACUUAAUAGAUCAUGUUCGUUAUAAUCAGUGCUGCUAUAUCAAAAAGUAGUGUCUCGUGCCGGGUAGCAUCCGUGUUGCUAUUUCUCCAUGUCUUUUUCACCUGAAUAGAUUGCCUUCCAUCGAACAGGGCUACUGUUCUUGAUCAUAAGAUCUGAUAUUGUUCUAAUUUUACUAGAUGAAGCUACAAUGGUUAACAUAUGUAGUGCAGGUUCUAGGUUUGUUAUAUUGAACAUGGCUACUGUUCUUGAUCAUAUGAUCUUAUAUCCUAUAUGUGCAAAUCAGGACUUUAGGCUACUGGAAUUUCACUAUUGUUUAAUUUAGGAAAAGUUGAUUGAUCCAUUAUCAAGGGCAGCAUGAAUUAUAUGUGAUUCAGCACCUUUAUUAAGUUUCCCUUCUUUUAGCUUAUUGGUUGCUACCUAAGAUAGUACCAAGCAUGAUCUUUGGGUUGCCAUGUACAACACCAGGGAGUCAUUUUAUUAAGCUGGCAUUAGUAAUUUUGCAUUUUACAUGGUUCAUGUGUAAGAUAAACGUCUGUCCAAUAGUACUAAUAUUAAGUUUAUAAUAUUGGCUCAGUCUAUUACUGCCGUUGUCUUCUUGGGAGUACUUGAGAAGGCGUGGCUGGGAAUGUGGGGACACGCCAUGGCAGAGGUGCAUGGUCGGCAGGAGUCAGGGAGGCAUGAAGGUGGACAUGUGGAUGUUAUCGUGGCAUUGAUACAUUUCACUCCACCGAUGUUGCAUACCAAGGAUUCGUUGGAAGCCAAACAGGGCACCCGAGAAGGAGAAGAGGAGAAUGCUCUGAAGAGAGUAAAUGAUAAGUUUUAUUGUUUUGUUUUAAGAGCAAGAUAGGAGUUGAUAUGUAGUCCCCUGUCUUCUUUGUAUUCUACUAUGGGUAUGGCCAAGCACUCAUGAUUUUAUAGACGCAUAUAUUUUUAAACAAAA